CCUCCGUUGUUUCACAAUGUAAGUCAUUCUAGCAUUUCCCACAUUCAUAUUGAUGUUAAUGAAUCUAUAUAUAAUGUGGGAAAUGCUAGAAUGACUUACAUUGUGAAACGGAGAGAGUAU
rnacentral:misc_RNA from 1 species